UCCACCUCUCCCAUGCUAUCCUUCUUACUGAUAAGGGGAGGGAUUAGCCCAGGACCAUCUCCCUCUCUUAGGACUCCAGGACAAAGACUGGGAGUCAGAAGGAAGUCCAGAUCAGCCACACUUCUCCCCACAGCAUCUCCAGCACCAAGAGCAGAAGGACCCCUGGAGAGCUGGGUUUCGUCCUAUUUCUGCAGACACAUGAUGGGAGGCGGAGUAGGAGAGGUGACAACCGCAGAGAUCAAAUCAAGAGUGUGAAGCCACAGAGAGCAAAGCCAUGGGGAUGGAGCAAUCUCUGAGCAGCUGGGAAGAAAAGGAGGAAAGCCAUUAACUGGGGAUCAAGGAGAGGGAGUCGGAAGCUGCAUGAAGGUAGUACAGCACAGGAAGGAAAAAAAAAAAGAA